GACGAACGCUGGCGGCGUGCUUAACACAUGCAAGUCGAACGGAAAGGCCCUGCUUUUGUGGGGUGCUCGAGUGGCGAACGGGUGAGUAACACGUGAGUAACCUGCCCUUGACUUUGGGAUAACUUCAGGAAACUGGGGCUAAUACCGGAUAGGAGCUCCUGCUGCAUGGUGGGGGUUGGAAAGUUUCGGCGGUUGGGGAUGGACUCGCGGCUUAUCAGCUUGUUGGUGGGGUAGUGGCUUACCAAGGCUUUGACGGGUAGCCGGCCUGAGAGGGUGACCGGCCACAUUGGGACUGGAGUACGGCCCAGACUCCUACGGGAGGCAGCAGGGGGGAAUAUUGCACAAUGGGCGGAAGCCUGAUGCAGCAACGCCGCGUGCGGGAUGACGGCCUUCGGGUUGGAAACCGCUUUCGCCUGUGACGAAGCGUGAGUGGCGGUAAUGGGUAAAGAAGCAACGGCUAACUACGUG
rnacentral:rRNA from 1 species